rnacentral:lncRNA from 10 species
GUCUCACUGUUUCCCAGGCUGGAGUGCAGUGGUGUGAUCAUAGCUCACUGUAGUCUCAAACUCUUGGGCUCAAGCAGUCGUCCUCCCUCAGCCUUCCAAGUAGCUGGGAUUAUAAGUGCAAGCCACAACACCAGGCUGAUAGGUUUUUUUUAAUGGAAUUUUUUCAGAUGUAAUUUACAACCAUACAGUUUACCUGCUUUGGGUUUACAACUCAAGAUUUUUGUAAAUUCACAGUUGUGUGGCCAUCACCACAGUCCAAUUUUAGAAAAUUUUCAACGCCCGAGAGAAAUUCCUCAUGCUCAUAUGCAGUCACUAUAAAAGUUUUUAUUAAUGAUUGAUGCAUGUAAUUUUCAGUAAUAAAAUCAAGUAUUAAUAAUACAUUUUAAUAUGACUCUUUUCUAGCCAAAGCAUGUUUCAUACCAAAAGUAGUUAAUUUCUCACUCAUUUAAAAAAUGGCUGGGUGCAGCAGCUCAUGCCUGUAAUCCCAAAGUGCUGGGAUUAUAGGUGUGAGCCACUGUGCCCUGCUGAAAGAUCUUAUUUUUAUAAUAUUGAUGAUACUCUGUAGCACAUAAACUGAAAUAUAUUGUAAUACACUGGAUGAAAAAA